rnacentral:lncRNA from 1 species
CAGAUGUAUGUUUCAACUAAUGCACGAUUCGAUUGUAUAUAAAAGGAUAUAGUAUUGAAGCGCCGUAAAACUUUGUUAUCUCAUGACCUACAUGAAAAUUCGUUCACUUAAAACAGAUUGGUAUACGAAAAAAAAAAAAAAAAAAAAAGGAAAUCGCUUCUGUGCGGGCCGAUCUCUGCUGUUGGCUGAAUUAGAAUUAGGGUUGAAUUAUGCCAUCUUUGCAUGCCCCUGCUCUAUGGACAUUGUCGCAUCUGACAUCUCUUCUUCGGUUGGCAUAUUGUCAACACAAUGGAAAGAUAUAGAACAUACUUAUUGAUAUACACCGGGCUCAGAACUAGCGGAAAUCGAGGGGAGGACUUAUAUGAUGAAUCAUACGUUAGACAUCCCUGGCUAUCAAAUUGGUUCCUCCAACAAAUCCUUGGUUCCGCAUCUGGAUUGCGUUCAUUCGAUUCUUUUGCAUAUCAUAUUGCGCGCCUGGUCUUGAAUCCACCAUGGGCCUAAGGCCUUGUCUUCGUUGACGGCGACUUGGAAAAUCGACAUCGUGUAGUCUGAGCCCUACUACGGUGGUAAUCCCAGACUAUUGUCCCGGUACAUUUGAUAAUUCUUGUUUUUUUAUUUUUUUUUUUUUUUUUUUGAAUAACACAGAGCACAGAUAACUUAGUACAUGGAACAAAUAUAA